rnacentral:rRNA from 1 species
GUAGGGAAUAUUGCACAAUGGGGGAAACCCUGAUGCAGCGACGCCGCGUGAGUGAUGAAGGCCUUCGGGUCGUAAAGCUCUGUCGUAUGGGACUAACACAAUGAAGGUACCAUGCAAGAAAGGAUCGGCUAACUUCGUGCCAGCAGCCGCGGUAAGACGAGGGAUCCUAGCGUUGUUCGGAAUCAUUGGGCGUAAAGCGGGUGUAGGCGGAUUUAUAAGUCAGGUGUGAAAUCCCAGGGCUCAACCCUGGAAGUGCACUUGAUACUGUAAAUCUUGAGUGUGGUAGAGGUUACUGGAAUUGUUGGUGUAGUGGUGAAAUACGUAGAUAUCAACAGGAAUACCGGAGGCGAAGGCGAGUAACUGGGCCAACACUGACGCUGAGACCCGAAAGCGUGGGGAUCAAACAGGAUUAGAAACCCGUGUAGUCC